rnacentral:rRNA from 1 species
ACGAGUUUGAUCAUGGCUCAGAACGAACGCUGGCGGCAGGCCUAACACAUGCAAGUCGAACGCCCCGCAAGGGGAGUGGCAGACGGGUGAGUAACGCGUGGGAACCUUCCCUUGGUACGGAAUAAUUCACCGAAAGGUGGACUAAUACCGCAUACGCCCGAGAGGGGAAAGAUUUAUCGCCAAAGGAUGGGCCCGCGUUGGAUUAGGUAGUUGGUGAGGUAAAGGCUCACCAAGCCGACGAUCUGUAGCUGGUCUGAGAGGACGACCAGCCACACUGGGACUGAGACACGGCCCAGACUCCUACGGGAGGCAGCAGUGGGAAUUUUGGACAAUGGGCGCAAGCCUGAUCCAGCAAUGCCGCGUGCAGGAUGAAGGCCUUCGGGUUGUAAACUGCUUUGUACGGAACGAAACGGUGAGCUCUAAUACAGUUUGCUAAUGACGGUACCGUAAGAAUAAGCACCGGCUAACUACGUG